rnacentral:lncRNA from 1 species
CUUCUGGAGCUGCUGCUUGAAGCAACUAGUUGGCUUUGUCCUUGGGGAAACCUGUCGAGCCUUUCUGUCUCAUUAUCUCUCAGAGUUUUCUCCUAAUGGAAUAGGACGAUGGACCUUAAUGGUUUAUCCUUCUUUCCCCAUCCCCUCUCCUCAGAGAGUGCUUCUUGAAUUAAAAACAGUUCGAGUUCUGUCAGAAAACGUCUCGUUCCUGUUCCUGGAUGAACUAAAGACUCUGCCUGGAAAAGAACUAAGCUGCAAUAUACACACACCUGACUGCACAGCUGCUGAAGAGGAGAACUUCUGUUUAAUCUGUUUUAAAUAAUAGACAGGUGGAGUCUUACUCUGUAAUCCAGGCUGGAGUGCAAUGAUGUGAUCUCAGCUCACUGCAACCUCUACCUCCCAGGUUCAAGCAAUUCUCCUGCCUCAGUCUCCCAAGUAGAUGGAAUUACAGGUGUGUGCCACCACAACCGGCUAAUUUUUUUUAUUUUUAGUAGAGGUGGGGUUUCACUAUGUUGGCCAGGCUGGUUUCGAACUCCUGACCUCAUGUGAUCCACCCGCCUCAGCCUCCCAAAGUGCUGGGAUUACAGGCGUGAGCCACUGCGCCCGGCCUAGUAAGCCCUUUUAAAGAACAGAACUGAAGUCUAUAUAUGUGUGUAUAUAUUUUAAAAUUACAUUAUUAGUUCAUAUUUACAUUUCCAAUCGAAAUUUUAGGAUUAUAAAGUUUUAAUGUAUUUAUUUGAUUCUAUCUUUUUUUUUCUCAAGUGAAAAAUCCUGGUUCCUAACAGCAUGCACAUAAUUAUUUACUUGAUUUCUCUUAUAUAUUAUAUAACAGCUUGGCCAGGCAUGAUGGCUCAUUCCUGUAAUCACAGCACUUUAGGAGGCCAAGGCAGGAGGAUCACUUGAGCCCAGGAGUUCGAGACCAGCCUGGGCAACAUAGCAAAACCCUGUCUCUAUUUUAACAAAGUAAUAGUUUCAGAAUAGCAAUGUCAAUAGUAUUAGUAGAAAUUUGAAUGCUAAAAAAACAGUUUAAGACUUUCUGCUUGUUUGAUUUUAUGGUACAUACUACCAGGGAUGUAACCUCAGAUUACUGUAUUUUAAAGUUAAUUAAAAUACUUCCUCCGUCUGAGCUUAUGCCACCAACUCGUGGAACAGUUAGGUUUAUUCGUUUCAUUUUGCCUUGCUUUAUAAAGAUAGCUUUUAAAAGCAAUUGUGUUAUAAUUGUUUAUAGUAGUACUGUAUCGUGUAACAACUACAUUCUAUAGGGUCACCCUUGUAUCCAUCAUGUAAUGAUUGUUAUACAGGUAAAUAUAUAUAUUCAACGCCCACCUGAUCCUUAUGCCAAUUCCUCUUCGGUCAUUUGUUUGUCUUUUUCUAGUAGGUUCCUUAGGAAGGGCACAGAGAACAAUACUCCAUGAGUUCUGGCAUAUUCUUAACAGUUUGUGCAUGACUUUAAACUUGACUGGGUAUAAAAUUCUUGCCUACAUUUUCUUUUCUUUUUUUUUUUUUUUUUUUGGAAGGGAGCUUUGCUCUUGUUGCCCUGGCUGGAGUGCAGUGGUGUGAUCUCAGCUCUCUGCAACCUCCGCCUCCUGGGUUCAAGCGAUUCUCCUGCCUCGGCCUUCCGAGUAGUGGGAUUACAGGUGCGCGCCACCAUGCCUGGCUAAUUUUUUGUAUUUUUAGUUGGGACCGGGUUUCACCAUGUUGGCCAGGCUGGUCUCAAACUCCUGACCUCAGGUGAUCUGCCCGCCUUGGACCCCCAAAGUGCUAGGAUUACAGACGCGAGCCACCGCGCCCGGCCUUGACUACAUUUUCUUAACUGUUUGUAAUAUACUUUAUUCCAUUGCCCUAUGGUAUAAAAUGUUGCUGUUGAGAAAUCUGUCCGUCUUAGUCUCUUUCCCUAAUGAGUGGCUUGGUUGUUUCACUUUGAUGUCUAAAGAUUUCAUUUGGUUUUUCCCUUUUCUUUCAGUUCAAUAAAUUUACUUUAAAAAAAAGUCUCAUUUUGGCCACUAUCAAUGGAUUUUCCGAGGUACCUCAUGUGCCCGUUAAAGAUGUGGAUUCAGAUCUACUUGAUAUCAGUAACAUUUUUCUGAACUAUAGCUCCAGUUUGCAUUCAUUCCCCUUGCUUUGAGUUUCUUCUUUUGAGACUCUUAUUACAUGUAUGCUAAUAUAUAAGUAAUAAUCUAUUACUCCCUCUCCAAACCAUUUUCAAAAAUUUUAAAAAAUAUGUUUUUUAUUUUUGUAGAGACAGAAUCUUGCUAUGUUGCCCAGGCUGGUGUUGAACUGCUGGCCUCAACCAAUCCUCCUGCCUCGGCCUCUCAAAGUGCUGGGAUUACAGGUGUGAGGCACCACACCUGGCUUCUCCAGCCCUUAUCUUUUUUUAAAAUUUUGUUUUAAUUUCUUAUUUUCCUCUCAUUCUAUUUUCUCUUUUUUUCUUAUGAUGUUUAUUUGUCCUUAAGCUCAUCCUACUUUGGUCUUCAUUUCUGAAAUUAUUUUUUCUUUUACUCCUAGUUCUUUUUAAAAUUCUCUUAGCUCACAUUUCAAACUUUUCUUUUGUCCAAUCAUCUCAUUUUCUUUUUUUUUCCUCUUUUAAAAUAUUUUGAGACAGGGUCUCACUGUGUCACUCAGGCUGGAGUGCAGUGGUGCAAUCAUAGCUCAUUACAGCCUUGACCUCCUGGACUCCAGCGAUCCUCCCACUUCAGCCUCCUAAGUAGCCAGGAUUACGGUAGCACACCAUCAUGCCUGGCUAAUUUUAUUUUUUGUUUUUUGUAGAGACAGGGUCUUGCUAUGUUACCUAGGCUGGUUUUGGACUUUUAGUCUCAAGCAGUCCUGCUGUCUCAGCCUCCCUAAAUGCUAAGAUUACAGGCUCAUUUUCUAAUUCUGAUUUAUGGCAUUCUUCCAUAGCUACAAUCAUUUUCUGAAAUUCUCUAAGCUCAUUUGGAAAUGUUGGACUAAUAUUUUUAUUAUUGUAAGUUCGUGUCUUUAUGACAUGAUUUCAUUAUCUAUAGGAAUAAUAUUCUCUGUCCACUUAAUCUUUUUUUUUAAAUUUACAUCAUAUGGGAUAUUCAAGCACAAUGACGCUUUAGCUCACGGCUUUCCUAUCCUCUUAGAGAGGAGGAUGCCGGGAAUAUCUUCCCUAGGGCCGGUGUUCUAGGGCUUCGUUUUCUGCUGUUACUGUGCUGCAUUGAGAUCUAUGAACUGAGAUCCAAACAUGGACUUAGAUCUGAACACACCACAUUCUGAGACGUGUUCCCUUUCCAGCUCGGUGUGGCUAUCCUCUUUCUUAAGUUUUGGUGUCCCUGUUCUGUUCUGUUUCCAUUCAAUGCCUGGCAGUCUCUCCUCAGUAUGGGGAUUUGUCCUACUUUAUGAAAGUGGCGUUGAGCAUUUCGGUGCAUAAAUAUUAACCGUUUUCUCUUCCUUGUGUAUUUUAACUUCUAGAAUUACAAACACUUUUUUUUUUUUUUUUUUUUUUUGGUGACAGAGUCUCACUCUGUUGCCCAGGCCGGAGUGCAGUGGUGUGAUCUUGGCUCACUGCAACCUCUGCCUCCUGGGUUCAAGCAAUUCUUCUGCCUCAGCCUCCCAAGUAGCUGGGAUUACAGGCACGCGCCGCUAUGGCUGGCUAAUUUUUGCAUUUUAGUAGAGGCGGGGUUGCACCAUGUUGGUCAGGCUGGUCUCAAACUCCUGACCUUGUGAACCGCCCACCUCUGCCUCCCAAAGUGUUGGGAUUAUAUGCGUGAGCCACUGCGCCCGGCCAAGACUUCUCUCUUUUUAAACACAUUUUCGUCGGAGCAAUCACAGAGUUUGCAGGAGAUCUGGAGCCUGCAAAGUCACCCCCUUCCCCCACCAACAGUUUUGGCUGCUCUUGUCAGAUUGACCUGAUGGUCUGAGAGUGGACUCAUCCCCUGGGGAAUGGAUGGCUUCCAUGCUGACAGUGGACUCUUCCCUUUGGGAACGGGUACUCCAGCCAAGAGUGGAGUUUUCCUUUUGGGAAUGGGUACCUUCCAUGAUGAGAGUUUACUCUUCCCUUUGGAAAUGGUAUUUUUCCAGGCUGAGAGUUUACGCUUCCCUUUGGAAAUGGUAUUUUUCCAUGCCGAGAGUGUCUCUUCCCUUUGGGAAUGGGUAGCUUCCAUGUGGAGAACAGACUUUUCCUUUUGGGAGUGGUUGCCUGUUGCUAAUUUGCUUUCUAGGCUGUUUUUUGGAAGUCGUUUUUCUUUCUUCUGUUUCUUCCUACGGCCGUUACCAUACAUAUCUUAUUGCUGUUAGUGGUUUGACCCCUCCUCCUCAUGGGAAUAUCUUAUCACUUUUGUUGUAGACGUCCACAAGAUUUUGCUUUGCUGUAUCAGUGGUUCUGUCUAUUUUUGUAGGGGGACUGGGGGAGAUUAAAACGUUUUAGCUGCUGCUGCUAUUUAUUUGCCUAUGGGUAAUUUUGGAGCAAAUGUGGCACUGUAGACAUUUUGAAGCAUGUUAAACCCAAGGUGAUGUUUUAUAUGUUUUCUUUAUAAUAAUAUUAUCCUUUUCCUCUUCUUAAACCUGUCAGAUAAUAAACAUAAUACUGAUGGAAAAUACAAUAAAAAUCAUUGAACAGGACCUGUAAAAUCUCAGAGAUCCCAGGAGAGAAUGCUGUUUUGUCUGUUUGUAACAUUAUGGAAUAAAUCAUUCCAAUCCCCUUCAAAAU